GAGCAGUUUUAAAGGGCCUUAAGGAAGAUGUAUAAUUAUUUUUGAUAUUUGGCAUUCUUUAUAUCUUUUUUAAAAUUGAGGACUAAUGAUUUUGACUUCACUUUCAUAUUAGAGACCCACUAUGUGCAACAUAGGAUGUUGCUCAUUGAAGCAGAGCAUUCCAACUAUCAGAUGGAGAGGCAUGAAGGCCGAAUGAAUAGGGCAGCUAGAAAGAUGAGCAGAUUUGAGAGUACAUAUAACUUUGUCAUGGUGUUGACCUCUCACUUGAUUUGAUUUUUUUAAAUUUAUUUUUAACUUAUCUAUUUUUUAUCUAUUUAUCCUUAGUUGCAGCUCUUCUAUAAAUAUCGAUAUAUUUUUACAAAGGCCAAGCAG
rnacentral:lncRNA from 1 species